rnacentral:rRNA from 1 species
AUUGAACGCUGGCGGUAUGCUUAACACAUGCAAGUCGAACGAUGAGAAAGAGCUUGCUCUUUCGAUUAGUGGCGGACGGGUGCGUAACGCGUAGGAAUCUGCCUAUUAGUGGGGGGACAACUUAGGGAAACUUAAGCUAAUACCGCAUACGCCCUACGGGGGAAAGGAGGGGAUCGCAAGACCUUUCGCUAAUAGAUGAGCCCGCGUCUGAUUAGCUAGUUGGUGAGGUAACGGCUCACCAAGGCUACGAUCAGUAGCUGAUCUGAGAGGAUGAUCAGCCACAUUGGGACUGAGACACGGCCCAAACUCCUACGGGAGGCAGCAGUGGGGAAUAUUGGACAAUGGGCGCAAGCCUGAUCCAGCCAUGCCGCGUGAGUGAUGAAGGCCUUCGGGUUGUAAAGCUCUUUUGUCCGGGAAGAUAAUGACUGUACCGGAAGAAUAAGCCCCGGCAAACUUCGUG